GAAAAUUCUAGUUUAAUGAAAAUAAAUUGUAGUGUAUUAAAAUGAUUAAAAAAUGUAUGAAGAAGAUAUUAAUGAAAUUAAAUUUAAGAGAUAUUUAAUAACGAAUCGUCGAACUUAAGCCUAAACUUAUCUGAACUUGAUAGAAGGAGGCGGCGGAGACAACAGGUACAGAAUGCGGAGCGAUAGGUCUCUCUUUGGCCUCCGUAAAGACAGGAAAAUUUCCCCCUUACUUGCGUCCCUGAUUCAUACGAGAGAAUAAUUAGUAUACCGUAAGAUGUACAGAUUUUAUAUUACCUCAGCGAGGGAUGGUCGGUACUUGAARAAAAAGUAYGGGGUUCGUGYCGGGAYAAUAAUCGRGAUAUUAAAUAAUACGAGRCGGAAACGGUAGCUCUGGAAUAUAUUAUUGAAAUARUGAAUGAAAAAUUAUUGCUCUUUUACCCUUUCUCGCAAGUUUCCUAAGCACGUGGCAGGCUGGCAGUGGUAGGUACUAAUUUCUACGAAAACUCCGAGGAAAUUCAGAAACUAAACGUUACGAUAUGUAGCUCCUCGGAUUUAGAGGCACCUGGUUCAGGUAAUUUUAAUUUUCCCAAAUUUCCAAAAGGGAUGCCUUUAGAUAGGAUUUCACUGCAACCACCAAGCGAGAGGCUUUCUCCCCGGAAAUUGCUUGAAAUGGUCAGUCACGUAUGCAAACCAAUCAGAGCUAUCGAUUCAGGGCGCGAAAUAUAGUCAAUAUCGGACCGUGUAUAAAAAGGUGAAAAUUUUGAUUUUCUCGCUAUCUUCUGAGAGCGCGCACGUCUAGUUCUUUUGAAGCUGCAUGCGAAAUUGACGUUUUACGACAGGUGAAGAGGUUAAGUUUGUUUACAUUUUGAAAUUGUGCCUUUGUGCGAAAAGACCGAUAUUGCGCCGAUAGUUAGGUAAUAGGAAGACAUUUUGCACAACACAUAAAAGGACAAGAGGGCUUUUAAACCGUACCGAGGCACCCUACAACUCGGUACGACAACACAAGAGGAACAUGAGCACUAAAAUUACCCGGAGAAGAUGCCCGGACUUCUCCGGAGGGACGGUAUGAAAUACUCCGGGGCUACCCACUCCUUUUAGCCCCUUCACAGCCAGACAACACAACUAACUCGGAAAAUAGAGAGGAAACAAGCCUGAUCCAACUCCCUCCAAAAUUGGGGCUAGCGGUACGACAAGAACAAAACGGGAAAUGACUCUAAAACUCAAAUGACGGGAGCAGUUGAGUACUAGAUGAGGUUGCAUCAACGAUCUUACAGUCCCCAAGCAUCUCUAGGGCCCUCUGACGCCCCCUAGACCGGCGAAUUUAGGUUGACACGGAUGUUAAGUCAAUGACAGUAGUACCCAAGCGUUUAUGGGACCCAAACGCCUCCCAUACCAGCGAAGCUAUUUUGUAACUAGAUUUAGGACGUUUUAAAUAAAAAUAACGAAGUAAAACCGUUACAAUCUUUAAUAGAGAAAAUUGGCUAAAAAAUAU